rnacentral:misc_RNA from 1 species
GAAAUGCGAUAAGUAAUGUGAAUUGCAGAAUUCAGUGAAUCAUCGAAUCUUUGAACGCACAUUGCGCCCGCCAGUAUUCUGGCGGGCAUGCCUGUCCGAGCGUCAUUUCAACCAUCAAGCCCCCGGGCUUGUGUUGGGGACCUGCGGCUGCCCGCAGGCCCUGAAAACCAGUGGCGGGCUCGCUCUCACACCGAGCGUAGUAGCAAUCACCUCGCUCAGGGCGUGCUGCGGGUUCCGGCCGUUAAACAGCCUUACAAAACCCAAGGUUGACCUCGGAUCAGGUAGGAAGACCCGCUGAACUUAAGC